UUCUGUGCCGCAGCUAACGCACUAAGUACACCGCCUGGGGAGUACGGCCGCAAGGCUAAAACUCAAAGGAAUUGACGGGGGCCCGCUCAAGCGGUGGAGUAUGUGGUUUAAUUCGACGCAACGCGAAGAACCUUACCUGGGCUUGACAUCCCGGGAAUCUCCUGGAAACAGGAGAGUGCCUCUUCCGAGGAACCUGGUGACAGGUGCUGCAUGGCUGUCGUCAGCUCGUGUCGUGAGAUGUUGGGUUAAGUCCCGCAACGAGCGCAACCCUUGCCUUUAGUUGCCAUCAGUUUGGCUGGGCACUCUAGAGGGACUGCCGGUGUCAAACCGGAGGAAGGUGGGGAUGACGUCAAGUCCUCAUGGCCUUUAUGUCCAGGGCUACACACGUACUACAAUGGUCGGUACAAAGGGCAGCGACUUAGCGAUAAGGAGCCAAUCCCAUAAAGCCGGUCUCAGUCCGGAUCGGAGUCUGCAACUCGACUCCGUGAAGUUGGAAUCGCUAGUAAUCGUGGAUCAGCAUGCCACGGUGAAUACGUUCCCGGGCCUUGUACACACCGCCCGUCACACCACGAAAGUUGGUUGUACCAGAAGUAGUUGGGCUAAC
rnacentral:rRNA from 1 species